rnacentral:rRNA from 1 species
AGAGUUUGAUCAUGGCUCAGGAUGAACGCUAGCUACAGGCUUAACACAUGCAAGUCGAGGGGCAGCAUGGUCUUAGCUUGCUAAGGCUGAUGGCGACCGGCGCACGGGUGAGUAACGCGUAUCCAACCUUCCCCUUAGUAGGGCAUAGCCCGGCGAAAGUCGGAUUAAUACCCUAUGUUGUCAAUAGAGGACAUCUGAAGCUGACCAAAGGUUUACCGCUAAGGGAUGGGGAUGCGUCUGAUUAGGUUGCAGGCGGGUAACGGCCCACCUGGCCGACGAUCAGUAGGGGUUCUGAGAGGAAGGUCCCCCACACUGGUACUGAGACACGGACCAGACUCCUACGGGAGGCAGCAGUGAGGAAUAUUGGUCAAUGGGCGCGAGCCUGAACCAGCCAAGUAGCGUGCAGGAUGACGGCCCUAUGGGUUGUAAACUGCUUUUAUACGGGGAUAAAGUUCACCACGUGUGGUGUUUUGUAGGUACCGUAUGAAUAAGGACCGGCUAAUUCCGUGCCAGCAGCUGC